UCUCUAUUUUAUUACACUGGUCGAUUUGUCUGUCAUUAAGUCAACACACACUGUCUUAAUUAUACAACUUUAGAAUAAGUUUUGGUAUCUGGUGGUGAGAAUCCUCCAUUCUUGUAUUUUUUUUUCCCAAGACAGCAUUUCAUUUACAUAUAUGUUUUUGAAUAAACUUGACGACCCCACCACAACACAACAGCAACAACAAAACUUUCCGUGAACACGGAAUAUGCUUUUACCGAUUUACAUAAUCUCUCAUUUCCCUCCACAGUGUUGCUAGUUUUUAGUGCAGAGGUCUUGCACAUCUGUCCUAGGUAUUCGCCAACUUUUGAGCUAUUGCAAAUGGCUUUUGUUAUCUUUAACUUUAGUUUUAAAAGGAUUUGUUGCAUUUGACCCAUUUUGCCCAUAUCUUAUCACUGAACUAUUGAGUCUACUAUAAAAUACUCUAUCUUAAGUAAAAGUGGAAAGUGAGACCUACUUAGACUACACGUAACUAUUUUAUUAACGGGAUUCCCUUCGUACAUAUGAAAAGAGAAACCGGUGCUGCAGAGACACUAAUUAUAUUUGCCCCAUAGUGAUCCUAAAGGCGAUCAUAAGAAAGGAAGCAAGGAGUUUUGAGAAUUGCUCUUACCAUGACACUGCGUGUGGCAAUCUCAGCACAAUUCAAAGUAAAGGUGUUACUGGACUGAAUCAAUAGCUAUGAUGAAGGUACAGAAAGUGGGCCCCAAACUGCCCCGCCGUGCAAAACUCCUUCAGUGCAAAUGAGCCAAACUGCUAGUUAUUUGUCUAUUGUUCUAUCAUUACCUUGUGUGCGUCUGCCUCCAAUAGAGGCUGUCAGAUUCAUGCACAGUUUGUGUCUUGUGAGGUGCCGUAUCUCAUCUGAGUGGUUCUUGUCAGUUGUGGAGCUAACUGCUUAGAGGAUAAGAACAGGAAAAAAAAUAGUACCCUGAUUGACAGUGAUCAGAGUAAGGUGAUGGACUCUGGGGAGUGGGGAGACAUGGACAGAAGACAACAGAGAAUCAUAAGGAAUAAAAAGUUGCACACUAGAUAGUCGAGUCCAUCUGUCUUGUAACCUUGAUUGGUGAGCCCCACAUUUAAACAAUAGAAAUCUUAUUACUCCUUUCUUCCUUGGCUAAUGCAUAUGGAAAAUCUGGAUAAUGCAACCAGUAAAAUAAAUUCUAGCCCAGGGAACACUCUUCCUUAAGCCCAGAAAAAGUAAAUUUAAUAUGUAAAUAAAAUUUCCACCUACUUUUAUGGAUGCUUCUAACAUUAGAAACAAAUCCAUGAGUUGUACAGAAUAGGGUAAUUCUCAUCUUGCAGGGAAGGUGACACUCAGGGAAAUUAAUGGCCAAUGCCUUCCUAAAGAGCUGGAUUUCAGGACUUUUGGAGCUCACUCGAGAACUCUUUCAUUAAAGCUAUUUUGAUAUUUUAAUUUUAUUCCUCCUAGGAUUGCCUCUUGGUAUCCAAAGCAUAAAAGUAGUGGUCUUCAAACGUUUCUGUAAUGUACCCAGUGUCCACCUUUCUUCUUACACUAUAAGCAUUUGUCUACUUUUGACUAUGUCACCAUUUUCAAAGGAACCACCUUUGGGUAGUAUCUUCCCUAGGCCUUUCAUUCUGGCUUUUGCUCUGUCUCAGAUCAUAUAGGAUACAGAACAAUGAAACAGUAACCCAACCACACGGAGGAAAGAAUGUGGCUCUUUUUUGACAACAGAGCAUAAUUAGUGAUACAAGCAAAGUGGCUAAUUAGAUUCAAAACAACUUCCUGAAAUAUCAAGAAGAAAAGAUCGAAACGGAACCAAAGUGCAAAUAAAUACAAUUCGAACUGAUUCGUGCUCCAGGCUCCUGAAGCAUUGAAGACGUCAUUGAAAAGCUGAAGGCCUGUUCAGACAAAUCUCACAUUUUAUUUUCCUUCCCACUGUCUUUGAGUUUCUUUAGUUUUUUUUUUUCCUCUUCUGAAAUCAAAUUAAUAAUAUUUACUGAGUCAGAAGCUAAGUGAAGGCUGGGAUGAAAAGCAGUACAACAAACAAAGCUGUGAGUCUGCAUGUAAUUUCUCAGUCUCCACUCUAGUUGCUAAUAGUUAUGUGAUUUCUAUAAAGUUGCAUAACUUCUUACACCAGCCACCGACUCACCUCUACAAUAAGAGUGUUUGGCCGGGAUGUCAUCUGGUUCCCCCAGGGAGCUCAAAGUUCCCACAAUCUCUUGAACGAGUAGAGAGAAAAGAAAUAGAGGCAUAAAGGUAAUGGACCCCUAAAAUGGUUUGCAGUGGUUUGCCUCAUUUGGACUUAUUUAUCCAUUCCCAAAGCCUGGAGAUGAAGUUUAAAGGCCAUGUGCUGAAGGGAUUUGGAGAAAAACUAUUUUUAAUAUUUACAUGAACUGUUUGAGAGAUUAUGUGGAAUAUAAAAAUGUCUAUGGCACAAUCCUGUCACAGAGGAGCUGUACUCUCCAUGGAGAAGACAUGCUGUACAAAUAUGCGAUAACGUUGCAAGAAUCCAAAUAAGCCUUAAUGAAGUGCUAACACUCCCAAAGUGUAAACACUGGCCACUGUAGGAAUUCAGAGAUAUAUGGUCUACAACUGGAGAAGCAUUGAAGAUGAUCUUGAAGGAGAGGCUCAGAGAAUAAACUUCUAGAUAGACAGAUGUAUAAAGAAGGCGGUGCCUACUGUUGACGGGAACAAGAUAAUCGAGGUGUUGGAUGUGUAGACAUGAAGGUGACAUCUCCCAGGAAGAGUGAGAAGAAAGUCACCUUGGGUCAGAGGGACUGUUCACAGACCUAGUGGGAGGUAAUAUCAGAGAGGUCAGGGAACCUAUUUGAUAGAUAUCCAGGUUGAAGAAGAUUGACUUCUGAUAUUAAUGGGGAGCUAGUAAUGGGAAAGGAUUAUGCGAGACACUGUAAUCUUUCAGAAAGAUCAAACAAGGGCCAGUGGAAGAAUUGAUGAAUUGAAAGAAGAGAGGAACACUAAGGGUCAAGCAGGAUAUCUGUUGCAGUCAUCAGGCAAAAGUGAGGACCUAGAGCAGUAAAAUGGAGAAAUCCAACAUUGAAGGAUCUUCCUGGCUCAAGUCUUCCUUUUUCUUUCCUCCUUUCCCUUCCUGAUCUGAAUAAGCCUCUGGGUAAUGAGGUAAUAUAGAUAAAAUUGUAGUUUCACUCAUCAAGCCUAAGAAAUUAUCCCAGCCCCUGCUGGUGGUCUUUGGUCAGAUGACACAGAAUUGAUUUUGUAGCUUGUCUCAUGGGGGCCUCUGGGAAAAUGGCUCCUUCGGGUGACCUUUUGCUUUCACAUGAUUAUGGAGAUAUGACCCAAUCCCCAUCCUUAGUUCAAAAAGAAAACAAAUCCUCUUAAUUACUUUGUUGGCUCCUCUCACUUCUUGAUCUUGGCCAAUUUUUUUCCAGGGUCUCCUUCUAUCUGCUCUCCUCCCACGAUAAUAUUCUUAGAUGUUUUGUUCCCUUGGAUCCAAAGACACACUCUUUAUGCGGUGAAAAAGAGUAGAUCUCACCAAAAUCACUCUGGACUAGCUGUCCAUAGCCCAGUGAUAAUCAUUCCACUAUCUAAAAGAAAAAUGUGAUUUUACCACAAACACUCCCAUGAUGAUUCAGCCUUAACUCUUGCCAGAGGAAGACUGUGCCAUUUUUUCCCCUCUCCUCAGCAUGCAGGCUGCUGUGAAGAAGCAUCUGCUGCCUAAUUCUUUUCUAUAUUAGGAUAAAAAGCUUUUUGGCUUGCUGAUUUCAGGCCCUUAGGAAAAGAGAGAAAAGAUUUUCUCAUAACGUCUUUAUUGUACAACCAAUUGGUCUGUGUCCUGGGAACCCCAGGCACGUUUUCAGGGAUGAGCCACAAGACCAAUAGCUCAGAGACGAUGGGGCUGAGAGCUGGACACGACGUGCUCACUCUGGGGGUACAGAUGGUAUCUAUCAGCUAGAAUUCUUCCACUGAGGUUGCUUUGACACCCAGACCACUUAACUGGCCUCUUAUCGUAUUUGGGAAGGCCAGCUUUUCCUAAAGAUUACCCAGACACAGCUUUUGAUCCUCAUACUUCAAAUAAGUGAUUGAAGAGCCAGCUGAAAAAGAAUGGGGUCUAGGAAUAAAAAUGCUCAAAGAUGGAUAUGUCCUUGAGAAUAUGUCUGAAAAACACCUCAAGGAAAAUACGUUGGAGGUGAUAUUUCCCAAUCAGUUCCCUCCGUGCCCCACGGGGCCGCUUUUGAUGAAAACAGUGGCUUGAUGUUCUCAUUACGAUCCCUGCCCCAGAUGUGGGGCUGGAAACCAGGGAAGGCUGUGGGGGAGCAUGAACCUGAUAAAGGCUGUUGGUUGGCCUAUCUCUCUCGUGAGACGACCAGGUAGGAAAGCUCAGGGAAAGCACUUGUAUCUUGCUCUCUGCCUGUCAUCCUGCACUUUUCUGUGUGCCAGUGACCACGCUGGAAGCACUGGCCGACUGCAUCACAUCCCUGGAUGCCGUUCAGAAGUGAACAGGGAGGCCCAAGAUAUCUCCUGGGAACCAGUCACAUCUGCAGGGCUGUGAGCUGGGUUUUUCUUUUAUUCUUGUCAUAACGUAGUAAUGAUAAUGAUCGUCGUUGUUGUUGUUGCUAUGAUUGUCACAUUGGUCCAUUUGAUGAUGUCCUAUCACACUUGGAAUGGCCUCUUGGACAUGGGUAUAUAGCGGCUGCACAUGUUUGAGCCAGCAAAUUCCCAUAUGUCAUACUACUUGCAAUUAUUAUUUAAGGACCAGAGAGAAGGCAGCCUCCUGUUUUUGCUCAGUAAACUGGAUUUCAAAGCCAAAGUGAGGCAUAUCACAAUCGAACGGACUAAUUAAAAAAAAAAAAAAAAGUCAAGGUGAUGGAGGAGGAAGAGUUUAUUAAGUGAUAAACAUAUGCUUCUCCACAAAGCCCCAUACUUGAUUCCUCCAGUCAUAACAUACCAGCUCUGAGUUUUAACAACGCAGCUCUCAAAAGACUUCCCUUUGGGUUGUGGGCAAUUCAUAGAUUUCAGCUUCUUGCUCCCUGGUUGGGGUUGAUGGGCCAGGGAACAAUUUUUAUUAGGUUUCAAUGCAUCUGCGGUGCUUAAAUAAGAGACUGAAACAGGCACUCGUUCUGUGCUGUAGGGUGAUAAGUUGCAUUAAUUUUUAUUUUAGGCUGUCUCCAAACAUGGCUUUUAUAGACUAAUAAAAAAGCAAUUUUUAUAAGUUCACAAAAAACAAUGAGCACAGUCAGGCAUAAAUAUCUUACAACCAGGGCCAGAGGAAAAUUAUGAACUAAAAAAUCUGCUGAAAAUGGCAUAAAAAACAUAGUAUCUGGAUGCUGCCUUCUUGAGGUAAAUUACACUCUGACCUAAAUGGAAGAUUCUAUGAGUGUAAAUUUCCACUAGUGAUUCCUCCCUGUUCUCAUCUCUCUGUGGUCAGAACUCGGGCUCUGGACUCUUCACUAAUUUAUGCACAUCCUAUCCUUGAGGAUCAACCUCAAAAACUCAGCUCUUUGGGGGAAAUCCCACCCAUUAAUAUCAGUUCUUACAUCUCCAUAUACUUGUUUGGAACAUACUAGGAAACACUAAAACCUUAAUAGGAAAUCUUUUAGCCAAAUUACUCCAUUGUCAUAUCUCUGGAGAGAUAGUUUAUACAUGUCUGAGCAGAAUCUCUCUGACAAUAAAAAAUAUAAAGUGUACUUUGGACAACCAUCUUAUCCAAGCUAUUUAUGAAGGUGUUGAAAUAGUGGCAGGGACUACGUUGUAUACAAUUAUAAUGUGUUUGUGAAAUAAGUGAUCUCAAUUAAUGUUUAAUGUUAUGUACCAACAGAGUUUUCCCAAAAGUUAAAAAAAAAAAAAAAUCAGCGACUUUUCCAAAUCUCUUGUUGACUUAGUGCCAAACAUGCGAUGACUCCAGAUGACUGACAGGGGCUUUGGCUUUUGAUUGGCCCGUCUGGGCUUACAGAGUUACCUCGUAAAUUUAGGGCAUAAAUUAUUGCUCUUCCUACUUCCAUGAAUUUCAUGUUUCAGCCACACUUUUAGCCUGACGUGAACAUUUUCCAUCUUCAUGGCAUGCAAAAAAGGAAACGAAGCAGGUAGGAAACAAAUAAAAUAUCCAGGAAUUUUGUACUUAGACAAAAUGUCUUCACUUUCUUAGGCCUUAAGUUGGUUAAACUUUCCUAAGGCUGUGCUCAUUGUUGAGGUGUUUUGUUUGUUUAUUUAAAAAAAAAUUUUAUUACAUUGAUUUAGUUUUGAGAGACAGAGCACGAGUGGGGGAGGGGCAGAGAGAGAAUGAGACACAGAAUCCGAGGCAGGCUCCAGGCUCCGAGCUGUCAGCGCAGAGCCCGAUGCAGGGCUCGAACUCACAAACUGUGAGAUCAUGACCUGAGCUGAAGUCGGACGCUUAACCAACUGAGCCACCCAGGUGCCCCUUGUUUGUUUAUUUUAGAAAAAUAAAGGCAGAACCUAGAAUUGAAUUGGAGAUCCUGCUCACAAGGGAAUCCAUGUACAUGAUAUCUUUGUGUCUGACAUUUUCUUCACUUUGUAGCCCUUAGUGAAAGCAUAUGGGAGGUGGGGGUGAAGAGUACUUGUUUGAAAACUGGCUUUAUCUAGCAAGUGCAUCAUUUUACGUAAGUUGCAUGUUUAUUUUGAGAAGUUUUAUAGGGAUUUCUGGAGACUAUAAUUGUCUAUACCAUUUAAGGUGAUAGUCGUAGCUGAAACUAACAAAUUGAAGAUCUCGAUGGAUUCACACAAUAAAAGUUCACUUCUUAUUCAUAUAAAAACCUAGCUAGCGUUUAAAUUCCUGGUCAAGUGGAUUUUCUCCAAGUACUAACUCCUGGCCCAGGCUCCUUCUGUUCUGUGGCUCCGACUUCAACAAAUAGCUUCUAAGGACACAAACUUUUUAGCACCAAGUUGUGAAAGGCGAAGAGAAAAGAAGUGCUUCCUUCUCGCUAGAUCAGGCCCAGAAGUACUAUAUCCCCUUGGCUGGAACUCAUCUACAUGGUCACACCUAACUUCAGCAGAGGCUUGGAAAUGUAGUCUAGCUGUGUGUCCAAGAAAAACUAAAAAUUGUUUUGGAAUCUUCAAGCAACCUCAGCUCUAGACCUCAGCUCCAGACUUCAAGUUUGCCCUGAUAAUUUCACUGGAAGGAAUGUGAGACCUGAAUGAACAUCAGAGUAAAGCUUCUAGGUGCCCACCUUAGAGGUAUCAGUGAUGAUUCUGAGAUUCCCCAAAAGCACAGCAAUCAUGCAGGGUCCCUCCCUGUGAGUCUUUUGUCAACCACACUCUACUACAGUCCCUGAUUCAUAGUCCAUGCCACUCUAGAGAUCGUCAGCUCUACAUUACGGGGAUUACAUUUAAAAGAUGGGAUUCGUGUGCGCAGGUUUACAUUUCAAGCCUUUGAAACCGAGUCUUUCUCAUUUCCUUUUUUUCCUAAUUUGGCAUUGAUUUUCUUCAUGCUUGAAUAAGCGUUUUAAUUCUGCCAAGGUGGAAGUUCAAAUUUGCAACAUUUUUCAUUUCAAAAACGAAAGCUAAAAACGUCUGAUUAAUUUUCAAGAGCUAGAAAAGGUUAGUUUUUUCCCACCCCCAUAUAACACAAAAAUGGAUGUGCUAAUUUAGCUGAAAUGUUAUGAAAUAUGUACUAUUGGGUUGAAACCAAGUAUGGAAAUUCCAUGAACAUUUCCCACUGUGAUAUCUCUUCAGAGACACCUGUUCACAUCCUACCAAACAGAUUUCUAUUCCCAUAAUUAAAAUGUAAAUACAUCCAAUAUCAGUAAAAGAAAUUCACCUACAGAUUUGGGGAUGCCUUAGCUCUCUGAGCAAGUUUCAUCCUUUGCAACAGCAUCAUGGAUGAGUCUAGUAAUGGAACAAUACAUCCUGCAUGUAUACAUGAAGAUGAGCAGUAACUGUUAGGAUUCUCUUAUGGUUAUCUUCAAUUAAGAAUUUCAAUCUACAAUUACAGUAUCACUAAAAAUUUAAAUUUUCUUCCACAAAUACUUUCCAACAACCAACUAGCCUUACGAACACUUUGAUUCUUAAUGAAAUGAUUAGUACAAGGACAGUUGCAUGUCAGAUGUUGUCGAACUUUUUGGAAGCCAGUUUCCCACAGCAUUUAAAGUUCUUGGAAUUCCAUUGAUGAUAUUCUCACACUAUGCAUGCUCAAAAAUUCACUGGCAACACACAUCUGUGUUUACCCUUCUAAUCAUGACAAUACCCACAGUACUUUUCAUAUUCCUAAAGGAUUGAGUAAUACCUUCAGAAUCUUAGAAGACAAACAUGACUUAUGUUGGACCUGAAAUUAUCCUACCGCCCAUAAUAGGAAGAAUCUAAAAUUGGAAAUCACUUACAAGCCGGCAGUAGAAGAUUGUCAGAACUUCCUAUUUCUGGCUCAAGGGUAAAUUAAUAUGAUAGAAGGAUCUGCAAAGUAAUGAAAGAAAAGAUGUAGCCCUGGAUAUAUUGGCCUUUGGAAUAUUUUUUUUUUUUUAGCUCUUCAUCUGCCUUCCAAAUCAAUUCCGUUUGAAUUAGGGAAUUUUUUCAAUAUAUGGAAUACACAUUCUUCUGCAUCUUACUACAUUUUUGACCACAACAAAAACACAUGGAGGCAAUCACAGGAUGGGGGGAGGAUCACCAAUCUUCCCAAGUUGUGUAGAGGGGAAAAAAUUCUCCACUCUUGAUUAGCUUUCCUACUAGGGACUUAGAAAAGGAAUAUAGAUACCAAACAGUUAAUUCCCUACACCUCUGGAGUAUAAUCAGAAUCAAAGGAUCAGAAAGCACUUGAAACCAGACAUAGUAAAUACCUUUGUCACUAUUCUUCCUACUCUCUUGGCUAAUAUCAUCAAUUAAUCACAUCACUCUUUCCUAUUGGGCCCAGAUAUAAGUGAAGAAUUGUUCUCAAUGUAAAGUUUUAGGUAUCUAUUACCAGUAGACAGUUGAUCCAAGUUGCAACUUAAUAUAAAAAAAAAAAAAAAAAAAACCUAUUUGUCAUUCCUAACAUAGAAGAUCCCUGGGCAGGAAUGAGAGGUAAAGAAAAGUUACAGACAGCCGUGACUUUGAAUCUCUCUAUAGAUUCAAAUGGCCAUAUCUACAAGAGAAGUUAUUUACAUUAUUUCUGAGGUUAUUUCUUCUGGUCUGACUUUGCCUCAAGAAGCUUUUUAAAUUUUUUUAAACGUUUUUUAAUUAAAAAAACUGUUUUUGAAAGACAGAGAGAGACAGAGUGUGAGUAGGGGUGGGGAACGGACAGAGAGGGAGACACAGAACCCAAAAUAGGCUCCAGGCUCUGAGCUGUCUGCCAGCACCCGAUAUGGUGCUGGAACCCAUGACGUGAGAUCAUGACCUGAGCCAAAGUCAGAUGCUCAACCAGCUGAGCUACCCAGGAGACCCCUUCUUUGCCUCCAGAAGCUUUUGAGGAUUUUCUGGCAGGCACAUCUGUGAUGACCAAAUGAAGGUCUGACAGAGACAGAAGUUGAACUUCCAUUAUCUACAGAGUACCUUUUCCCUCUCCAGAAGUCCCACCAGUCAUCAUGCUGUGGGACACGCAGGCUGUCAAAUGUAGUAACCUCAAAAAACAAAACAAAACAAAACAAAACAACCAGACCAGGAUAGCAACCAUUAUAACAGGGUAGGGGGACAAGAUGAGGUUUUUAGUGGCUGAUUUCUCUCUUCUGGGUCUUCAAAAACUAAAGUCUCUGCCGGCCCUUAGAUUUUUAGUCAUCUGGUUACCCACCGGGAAUUCCUUCUGAAUCACAGACAAAAACAACACAUAUACAAAAAUGCAUGGCUAGAAGCUCUUGUACUAAUCUUAAAUCUAUCUUAGCUUUCUUACUCGCACUUAUGCUGAAUAUCCUAAGUUUUAGUUUUUUAAAAUCAUGUUAUGUUGUUUUCAAAAAUCUUAAAUCCUUUAGGGAACAAGGCAAGACAUAAAUACAUAAAAAUGAAUUAACGUAUAAAUACAGCAAAAUCUCCACCGCUAGUGUUCUUAUAUUUCACAGUCCACAAAUCUUCCAUAGAAGGUUAAUAUCUUCCAGAAAUUGUAUAAUUGCUUUGCUGUUGUGUCUAUUGCCAAAGAGGUCUGCUUUUCAAAUUAUCCAAGAGGCAUAUGUUGAAGUCAUGCUAAUAUACCUAAGAAUACCAUCACUGAUAUUAUCGAUCUUACAGUUACAUUUAUCCGCUGGUGCCACGUCCUUCAUUUGCACGUUUAAGAUAUUGUUAGACCUCUUUUUCCAUGUGGACAAGCUAAAGAUAUCAAAAGUACUCCAUAUUUAACCAAAGUCUCAGAAAACACCAGAGGUACAAGAAGGUAUAAGAAGUUGGUUCAUGUCUCCAGGGAUAAAUAGUCCCUUGAGAGAAGACAUUAUUCUUUCUUUUUAUUUAUAUCUGUGAAAUCUUGCUUUUAACUUGACCAUGCUGAAGAAAACAAUGCUUCUCAGGCAGCUGAUAGACUGUGAAAUUAAGUUCAAGAAAUCAGAUCACUUGAAGGAGCAAUCCUUAUCCUUGAAAAUGUUCUGUCAUCACAGACUCAAAGAAAUCUGGCUUUGGACCCAUCCAUCAGUUUUGUUUCCUCUCUUCAUGUUUGCAAGUUAGUGGAAGAAACCGGUGGUUUUGCAAUUGGCAGGAGAAAGGUCAAGUGAAAACAAAGCUUUCUUGCAGGCAUUUUUGCUGGCUGUAGUGUCCUUUUCUCCUUUGAGUUUUCAAUGCAUUUCUAAGUUUUGAAAAUAUUUUCCUUUUGAAGCCUUCUCACCAAAGCUGUCAGCAGGAUUUAUGACAAAUGUAACUCGUAGCAGACAAGAGCUGUUUCUUUAUUUUACACCUGCCAGAUGUAUUGCCUUUUACUUGGGCAUUUGUAACCAUUGGUGGUUUCAACUAUAAUGUUGAAAUGAACUAAGUUCCAUGCUAAGAAGGAGCCUAUUGUCUUGUUGACAAGAGGUGGCUUCUUAUCAUCCUACACAAUAAAAUUAAACCUGCUAUCUGCUCUGUGCCCUAUUUAUGUGUCAGGUGCAUGGCAUACAUUAUUUCUAAGUCAAACAAAAACAACAUGGAGCUAUUAUUAUUAUUGUCCUUAUUGAAUAGUUUCAAAAACCAUGUCGGAGUAAUUAAAUAGCAAUUAAAUGGGUGACUGAAAACCAGACGGGAAAUUAGAAUUUAAACCCAGGAAAAUAUGAAUUCAAAACUUGGAUUCCAUACCAUAAAGCUUUGCCAUAAAUGUUCUCUGAAUACAUUUCACCCAGGCUUCAAGUGUUCAAAAUACAAUGUUUAUACUAAUGACAUGUUAUAGAUCCCUUGAGGAGAGUCACCUUAUAGUGCUCACAUCUACUCAUCUUUCAAGGAGAAUAGAAAAUGCCUAACUUCAUGGAACAGUACACAGUGUUAUAUUUGGUUUGAUCAGUUUUGUAAUGAGCUGCUUCUGAGAUCUUUGGUCAUUUGAAGUGUUCAAAAUGAACGCUAUAAUUCAGGAACCAGUGAAAAUAAAUCCACAAGUCUUACAGCAGGACAUGUAUGUGGCAUUUUUCAAAACACAAAUAAAAAUGAUUGCCAAAUGUGAUUGGCAUAUUAAUAAAAUCAGGCACCUUAUUUGGACUUAAGUUAUUUUCAUUUUAAUAUUUUGUGAAAUUUUUAAAGACAUUUGAAGGAAUUCUGCCUUUCAUGCUUUGUUGAAAUUUAAACAACUUUUUGGCACACGUACCUCAACUUUUAUACUCUGUUAUCUUUUGCUCCAAUUUUGCCUUUUGUUUUGCAUUUGUGAAAUAUGGUUUGAUCCAAUAACAAUGAUAUGGAGCUUAUAUAAAUAUGUGUCUGUCGGGACACCUGUGUGGCUCAGUUGGUUAAGUGUCCAACUCUUGAUUUCAGCUCCGGUCAUGAUCUCACGGUUUGUGAGAUCAAGCUCCUUGUGGGGCUCUGUGCUGACAGCAGGGAGCCUACUUGGGAUUCUCUCUCUCCCUCUCUCUCUAUUCCUCCUCCACUCGCUUGCAUGUUCCCUCUCUUUCCCCAAAAUAAAUAAACUUUAUUUAUUUAUUUUUUUACGUUGAUUUAUUUUGAGAGGGAGGCCAGAGAGAGAGGGAGACACAGAAUUUGAAGCAGGCUCCAGGCUCUAAGCUGUCAGCACAGAGCCCGACGCAGGGCUUGAACUCACCAACCGUGAGAUCGUGACCUGAGGCGAAGUUGGACACUUCACCGACCGAGCCACCCAGGCUCCCCCCAAAUUAAUAAACUUUGAAAAAAGAAAAAAAGAAAAAGAAUGUGUCUGUCAACUAGAAGCAACACUUUCCCAAUGUAGUUUUCUUUUUACUUUUCAUAGAACAUUCUGGAUCUUGAAAACUCUCACAAGGCAAUAAAGAGAUCUAUAUGCCAACUUAGAAAUAUGUUAUUUCUGCUCAUUUUUCUUACCCGAUGCCCAGGCAUAUAAGAGCAAAUAAACAAGUCUGAUUUUCUGGAUUCUGAGAAUUGUCGCCUUUCAGUCCGUGUUGUAAUUGUUCAUUUAUUUAGGUAAGAGCUAUUUUUGAGUGCCUUGUGUAUGUGCCAAGUACCCUAUAGGCAUGGGGGCUACGGCAGUGAAAUUUAGAGCUACCUGAAAUCAAUGUGGUGAGGUUUGCAAAAGGGGAAAGAUGGUGUGUGUUUUGAACCAAUCUACUCGGGAGGACUGGAAGAUCACAAACAUCUUCCCUGAAGAAGUGAUGAUUGUGCAGAGAAAUACAGGAAUCGGCCAGAUGGGAAGUGGCCAGGGAGGGAUAGUCGGGCUCAUAGUGCCAUGAGCCACUUUUAUGAGCGCCAUUAGAUGAAAUAAGAAGCCAGUGCCUUCCCGUGUCUACAGCCCAUUGCCAGUAUUCGGGACAUACUUCAGAAGACCAUUUUGCCAAUGUCUAAAAUCAAACUUUUAGGGAACACUUUUUGGUGCUGUAUUCCUUUCUUCCCAUGCGAUGCUUGUGUUUCAACUCUUGGCUAAGAGGAGAAAGCGAAGAGGAUUAAAAGCCAGAUGAGGUUUCUGCAGUGUGAGCGAGGAGGUAUUUCAAGAACAUUUCAAAGGAACGAGAAUCAUUUAUUAUUUCUUACCAUGGGCAUCGUGAUACUCAAUUUGAUACUUAGUAUAUAUCUAUGAGAUCGAUAUUUUUCCCAUUGUUUUCUCCCAGGGAGAGAAAGAGGGCAUGGGGUGGGUAAGUUUCUCAUUCUGUAUGAAGGAGAGCCAGAAUCUGACACCAGCUGUCUCUUACUUAAGGUUCAUGUUUUGUGGCUCUCCAGAGUAGCAAAGGCAGAGGUGGCUUAUAUGUUUGGGAACAGCGACAGUCCAAUUUAACUAAAGGCAGCAAAGCUCACAGAAGAUGAGGCUGGAAGGUAGAACAUGGUCCGAGAAGUCUUGAAACAGAUGGAAUGGGUAUCAUCGUGUAUCCACUCAAAGCCCACUUUCUUUCUAAGCAGGUAGCAUCUCACCAUCACUACCACAUGAAGGGGUAUCAGAUCAUUCCCAGCCAAAAGGGCUUCCUUAUUUCUAAGAAUCAUUUCAAUUCCUUUAUCAGGAAAUUGUUCAGUAACAUAGACCAGAGCCAAUCAGCACUCAUCACGCCUCAGCACACUGGGAAGUUUUUAGGAAUGGCGUGUGACUGAACGGGCAUGACUGAGGUGGACCAGUGAGAUGGCAGGAGGGACUUUAAGAGGUCAUUGGAGAAAAAGAUUUAUUGAUUAAAAAACGUAACUACUUCAAGAAAUGUGAGGUCCAGAAGUGCCAUAGUCAUCUUAACCCCAGCCUGAAGGAGAACCCCACUAAUGUCUGAUCUAGUAAAUGGGGAUAUUAAUAAAACCACCUCAUAGGGUUUGGGGAAGAAUAUAUAUCUUAGCAUCUGACACUCAAUAAAUGGUAGUUUUAUAAUUAUAAGUUAAGCCACAGUGAAAGCUUUAUGGUUCUGAUGAAGGGUGAAAAUUUAGUAGUCGUAUUUGACUUUAAGGAUUUUAAUCCUUACAUUUAAUACUUAAUAUAAUAAGUCAUGUUUCAUGGUAGAUUUGCUAUGUUUGCUUCUUGUUUUAUAAGAAUCAGAGUCAGUAAAUUGAUCAUUUCUCCAGAUUUGGGGCAAGGCAAACAAAUCGGGUGUGAAACUGAUCACGAUAUAAAAACUUGCUAACCUGCAUCAACUGGAAUUGAUAUCCAGCUCAGGUUUCGUACUUCACAGCACUUGUGAACCAAAAAGAAAAGCAGACUUAACGUGAAAUCAGAUUAAAUAAGAACUUAGGCCCGUUUCUGAUUGCGAAGUUUCUACUUUCAGUUCCAUAAAUCACCUAGAUCUGAAGCAAUCAGAGUAACUAAGGCUAAUAUAUGGAACUUCUCUCAAUUGUCAAUGGCAUCCAAGAACAAGGUAUUCGAUGGCAGAAUUCACUCCAGGGCAGAAAUUGAAAGGGCGGGAGGAACACAUUUCGUGAACUUCAGCAAAGGAAACGUGCAUAUUCAUGCCAUGAUUCGGCAACUGAGUUUGUUUCCUGUCACAAAAAGACAGAUAUUGGAGGAGAAGGAGCAAAGUGCUAAUGUAUCCUGCUUUAAACUCUGGCAUGAGUUUACUUAUAGUUCAUUAUCUCGGCCCUGAAGAAUGCUGUUCCAACAUUGAACUUCUGUAUUUUUCAAGUUUGUAAUGGGAAUAACAAGAUAAAAAGAAGAACAAUACUCUCUUACAUUUGAACAAUUGUUUUUCACUUUUUAAGUUUAUUAUUUUUUUUUGUUUGGAGACAGAGAGACAGAGAGAAAGAGGGGCAGAGAGAGACAGACAGAGAGAGAAUCUCAAGCAGGCUCCACAAUGUUAGUGCAGAGCCUGAUGUAGGGCUUGAACCCACAAACUGUGAGAUCAUGACUGGUGCCCAAACCAAGGGUCAGAUGCGUAACCAACCGAGCCAACCAGGUGCCCCCCAAAAUUGUUUUUCAUUUUUCUAGCAUCAUUUUUAAAUUACUUUUUAUAGCCUUAGUAGUGGCAGGAGUAGGAAUAAAGGAAAAGAUUGUGAUUUUUAUUAUUAAUUGCAAGUACUGUUAGCAAUUGCUAUAAAAUCUGGUGUUAAAUGUGUUUUUCAUGAAAUGUUUUUCAUUUAAUUUCGUGUCUUUUAUUCAUUUCAUGUGUUGGAGGGGAACGUGCCCAUUACUGCCACACGCCAACUCAAGUCAUUGACAGAUAAGAAGAUGGGGUGGUAAGUGUGGAGAGUCCAAAAUGUAGAAAAGAAGUCAGAUAUAGAAAAAGCAAAGAAAGAAAGGUCAGGGUCAACCAGCAAGCCAGAAGCACAAGUAACUGCUCUCAGGUGUGUUGGGGGUAUAACUGCUGGCCGAGCCCCAACUCUGCCCCAAACGCCCAGUGCUGCUUGCACUGAUGAAUACUGAUAAAUUCAAUAUACUGUGCAGAGAGUGACUGUCUUUUUUAUCUUGUCAAAAUGCAACUGUAAAAGGGCAAUUAUAGAGAGAGCCGCCCUCCCCCUCCCAAAGAAGGAAAUCCCUGAACUCACCUCCACAGCAUCAAGCCCUACGAACCUUCCGGUAACUCUCAGCCUAUUCUUGUUUACUUAGCCAUGAAAUUAGGCAGAAACAAAAAGCUGAGCAAAGCUUGCACCAGUGGUAUUGCGUAGAGAGCCGCAGUCUGUUUAGGAUGACCCCUAGCCACCCUCAAUCCCUCCUGCCUGACACCUGCUCAUACUGGCUUUAGAGUAAUUAUCUUCAAAGUGGGAUCCUGCACCGGCUUGCUUAUUAAAUAUGCAGAUUCCCGGAUUCUGAUGGGCCGGGCAUGGCCCUCACUUGCCGGUACUUUUGACAAGCACUUCAAUUAAUGUGUGAAAUAAAGUUUUCUCUAAGUCCUUCUUCCAUUUAACUACCCUUCCCAAAUCUGCUCUUAGGUGGCUGUCAAUCCAUCUUUGAGGAGGUGUUAAAAAUAACCACGGCGUUCACAGACAUUAUUUAAAGGAGUAACUCCUGCCAGGAACUUUGCGUUUUUUUUAAGGGUGUUUUCAUUUUUUAAGCGAUCUCCAAGAAGGCAAAAUGUCUUUUGUUUUUGUUUUUGUCUUGAUGAGAAGAAAGGAAUUGUGAUACUAAUUUUUUUCAAGUUUAUUUAUUUAUGAGAGACAGAACAGAGACAGGCAGAGAGAGAAGGAGAGAGAGAGAGAGAGAAUCCCAAGCAGAGAACGUGGGGCUCGAACUCACAAACCGUGAGAUCAUGACCUGAGCUGAAACCAAGAGUCAGAUGUUCAACUGACGGAACCAUCCAGGCGCCCAGGAGCUGUCACACUAAAAUGAAGAUAGCUUUUGAAAUGUGAUGUGAGAUAUGCAAAUGCUCCAAUGAUAAGUCUAAGAUAAUAAUUACAACCAAGAAUCACGGAACACACAUUUACUACUUGUCAUGUUCAUUGUAAGUAAUAUUGCCAAUUCUUAUUACAAGCCAUAGGAGAGGUAACAUCCCCUUUUUAAUGACGAGAAAACUGAAGGUUGAAGUGGUGAAAUGCCUUGUUCCAAGUCCAUACAGUUAACAGAUGCCUAAAUCAGAAUUUUAAUUUUCUGUGAUUUUAGCCAAAGAACUCAGUCUCUUUCUAUUAGAUCCUACUUCUUUCUGCAAAACAGCGUUUCACAAAGUACACAGCAGACACCAUCCUUAGAGAAUUCCUGUGGCAUCCAUUUGGCUAAAGUUGCUGAGAACCCUAAUUAUUUUUUUGAAUGAUUAAAGCAUUUUACAUGUUUUGAGACAUUUUUUUAAUCAGAUUUAGUGCUCCUGGGUUGAAAAUGUGUCAUUUUCAUUAGUGCCCUGAGAUUCUUUCUGCAUCCAACUCUUUCCUGUUUGCUACUUUGGUCUCAUUUCUAUCACCUUUCAAAGAGCUGCCUGGCUGAGACUUAUUAUCAUUAUUAUUUUUUUUAGGUUGCUUUCAUUGCUAUGAAUCAACUCCAAGGAAAGGUUAUGGAUUUUCAGAGAUGUGCAGGACGUGUGGAGAUUUAUUUGUAUGAUUCUUACUUAUUGACAGGAGAAUGUAUUCCCAGGGUUUAUCAACGUGUUCUGUUAGUUUGACAUUUAGUUGAAAGUAUUUGCUACUCUGAUUCUCGAGGAGCGCAAUCUCUUUCCUACCUUCCUCUCUCAGAUAUAACUGGAGAAGACCACCUACCUGCUACAUCUAAACGCAUUCAUCCAACUAGUUCAGCUUGGGUUUGUUUUAUUUUGUUUUUCUCCAGCGAGGAUGCAAAGCUAAACAUCUCAAAACCAUCCGUCAUGUUUGGGGAUCUUAGACAGCAAUUCUUUAAACUGAACAUAACUUUUACUCAAAGACACGACCGGAAGGACUUUGUAGUCCUUUGGAAAUGGUAAGUGUUCUUUAAGCAGUUACAUGGAGAGAGGCACCAUUUUGCAUUGUGCAAGGUAAGUCAAUGCAGAUAUAAACCGUACCCGAUACUCGUCUUGGUACGUUCAUUCUGUUUGCUGAUCCUAGGCCUGCUCAUCCUGAGAUAUAUUCCUCUUUUCUCCCCUAUCCCCUAUGCCCCUUUGGCUAUGUGUGGCCUGUAGUAGACCCAGGCAGGACCCUGUGGGAGGUGAGGAGAGGGAAAAGCCAUGUAUUUCUCCCCCCUUCUUCUUUGCCUCAGGCAUGUCCACGGGCAUUGGCUUGAAGCAUGUCACCAGGUCCUGCGGGAGAUAUCUGCCAUGACUCCAGCUUCUACCCAGUGGCCUGGUCCCUGGCCUCAGGGACCACCAUUUUCUCUGUCUCUCCAGCCUAUGAGUGAGAGUGGCUUCCUGCUGUUGAAAUCUCUUGGGUUACCUCACUGUCUCUUGUUUGGUUUUUCAAGCUCCUCCAUCACCUGUAUGACCAAUUCCCUGAGAGUAAAUAUUUGAACUGGUUUUGCAUUUCAGAUUAAACCCUGACCUAUCCACCUCUAUGCGUAUAACAUUCAUCAUACCAUUAAUAACAUGUUUAAGGUUCUUUUACUGCCCUGUAAUAGUGACACCCUAGAGUACUGGGAACAGUGCAACAAACCCAACUGUUGCCACAAUUCAUGAUUGAAUAUUUGCUAUUCUGUAUUUUCGAGUGAGUAGAAGGAAAUGUAUUCUGCUGAAAGGAUUUUUUAAUUGCCAUUUUAACCAGGCAGUAGCCCUUUCUAUUUCUACUUAAAGGAACUCUUUUGGAAGAAAAUAACACACCAGGUGUCUUUUAGGUUUUUUGUUUGCUUUUUGAUAGUGUUCAAAGUUACUAAAUCAUCUAGUGAAAGAAUUCUAUUCCAGGUACAUGCCAAAUAACAAUUUUCUAUGCAAAUCUCUUAAAUAUCUAAGCCAGUGCAAAUAUAAACACCCUAUCAAGUGUUCUCAUAACAUCCACUUUAUAAGAUAUGGACUAAUUUAUAAAACCGCUUCACCUACAUUCAAAAAAUUAAUAGUAUAUUUUGUGUUUCUACAAAGUGCAAAAGAGGGUCAAAAUUACUUUUUCCACAUGGCAGUCUGAAUAUAGGAAAACUAACCUAGAGACCCCCACAGGUUGGCUGAACACUACUUUAUUCAGCCAGGGGUGCUGCUGGGGGGAGAAACCAGUCCUAGCUCUGGUCCCACAGUGACACAGACGAAGCUGUUUUCCUCUAGACCCUGUUUCCUUUUAUUCCUAUUUGCACAACUAAACUAUAUUUAUAGCUUCCAUUGCAGAUCGACGAGGUCAUGUAUCUGAGUUCUGGCCAACAGAAUGUGGAAGAAAGUGGUAUCCUCCCCCUUCAGACUGGUUCUUAGAAACUUCCUGGAAUUGUCUACAUCAGAGCCAUACGGAAAAACAGCAAACUCCAAUCAUCCCAUGAAUCUCAUGCUUUACUAAAAACACAAAUCUGCAUACUUGGAACAGAUUGAGACUGAAGUAAAGUAGCACCUAAUACCCCAGAAGUCCAUAAUCAGAUACUUAGGACCCCAGAGAUACGGCUCGGGCAGAAUUCCACUCAGUGACACUCCAAGAGUUAUCAUCAUGGACCGCGUGUUUAUUCUGAGGCACUGAGCUCACACAGCAGGGAGGCAGUUAAAGAAUAUCUCUCUGCCUUUUGGCAAAUUGUAUAAAGCGCUUUUACCAGGAGGUUUGGAGACAGCAACAGCAGCAGUGAGCAAGGCGGUUGCAUUUCUGAACAUAAUCUGAAUUAUCAUUACAGUAAAAUAAAAUUUACUAAAUGGGCAUUUAAUGGUAUUGGGGCAAGGCAAAGAAGCAGAGCUUUCAUCAGGAGAAGCUGGGACAGCUGCAGCCCCUCACAAGAAGAUCCCCUGUGAAUUGUUGGCUUUUGUAACUUGUGACCUUGUGCUAUUUAUAAAAGAGUAUUCCUCUAAGAGCCAAGAUGUAAGGCAUAAAACACCAUUGAAGUAUCAUAGACUUUGGAGAGAGUGUAAUGAACCUCUGAAAUUAGAAAAUGAUACCAAUUCUGAUGGAUGAGACGGAAGUUUUCCCAAAAAAUUAACCUCAGCCUUCCCUUCAAUGUACAUACUGGGCAUUAAUUCUGGGAAUUUGUCUUUGGAAUGCGAUUUUUUUCCUCCUCGUAUUGACUGAGUGCCAGAAGUGUCUGAGAUGGAUCAUGUUGACAUAUUCAAAGAAAAAAAUGAUAGCUCCUAUAUAAUUGCACCUGCAUUUUUUCCAAAGUUGUUUUUUUUUUUUUUUUUUAAUGUUUACUUAUUUGAGAGAGAGGCCGGAGGGGUAGAGAGAGAGAGGGAGAGAGACAGAAUCCUAAGCAGACUCCCCACUCAGCAUGGAGCAGGACGUGGGACUCGAUCCACAACUGUGAGAUCAUGGCCUGAGCCGAAAUCCAGAGUGGGAUGCUUACCCAACUGAGCUACUGAGGCACCCCCAGCCAGCACCUGCUACUUAUUUGCCUGGCACUGGGCAAGCACGUCUCAACACCCAUAAUGAGCCUGGCACUGAGCUCACAGGGGCAAGGAUCUGAAACGUGGAGACAUAGAGUAAUUUGUGGAGCUGGGACAUGUUCUCUAGUCAUCUGAUUCCAAGGUGCGUGUUUUCAACCACUGCACUGUCCUAAUUUAAAACCAGGAGACAAUCUGUCAUCUUCAGCUUUACUAUUAGUUGUCCUUUGAAAAAUUAUUAAAAUGUCAGACGUCUAGCUUGGUAGUUGCUCUCCCAGUAAAUUUAAAAAGCAGCAGGCCCUACCCGGCACUUUUGUAGGCACAGUGGCAAGUAGAGAAGAAAUGUACAGUAAAGCUUCAAGGUGUCUGUGGGUUCGUUGGGGGAAACAUUAUUGACUCUUACAAGACUUGCAUAAUGAAAAGAAUAGUAAGGAACCCUUACGGAGCACUUUCUAAGCGGACCACACCCUCCCCUGUGCUCUACAUGUGCACCCUGAGGUGGGCGAAAUUAAGGUCUCUCUCUUCCUGACCCUAAUCUUACAGCAAUAGAGGAAAGCUUCUCAACAGGGAACCUGGACUCUUACCUAAUAGGCUCUCCUCAAGUCUGGGAUCUCCACAUCUUCCCUAUUGCCUUAGAAUCACGAUUGGACUCAACUUUCCAUCCGAGGGAUUGAUUCUAGCUUUCCUUAAAAAAUACUGUCGGUAGGAGGCUGCUUUGAACGGGACUGAGGGGAAGGCAAAUAGUUCAGAAAAGAGCCUAUUCUCUCAGCGCCUCAAAACAUCAGAGCAGAGGGUGAGAUUACCAAUGGCUUGGGGAAAAUUGUUUAGGAGGACAUCUGCCACCUCCUGACCAGGACAUGCCCUGAGAGCUUCAAUAUACAUUCUUUUAAGUCUGAAAGUUGAUGUAACGUGCUUUUUUUCACCAGUCCCAUCGCUUGUCCGAAUUCCUUGCUUUGGAAAAAGAUACUGCUGCACUGUUUUCAUGUUGAUAGUUUUGCUGUGGUAAUUAAUUCUUCAAAAAUCAACAACAGUUAAGAGACACGUGGGUGGCUCGGUCAGUUAAGUGUCCAACUUCAGCUCAGAACAUGAUCUCACCACUCAUGGGUUCAAGCCCCACUAUGGGCUCUGUGCUGACAGCUCAGAGCUUGGAGGCUGCGUCCAAUUCUGUGCCUCUGUCUCUGUCUCUCUCUCUGU